GGGACCCGUCUUGAAACACGGACCAAGGAGUCUAGCAUGUGCGCGAGUCAUUGGGACUCAGACUAAACCUAAAGGCGCAAUGAAAGUGAAGGCCCGCCUUGAGCCGGCCGAGGGAGGAUGGGCGGUCCCGAGGGGCCGCUCCGCACUCCCGGGGCGUCUCGCUCUCAUCGCGAGAAGAGGCGCACCCAGAGCGUACACGCUGGGACCCGAAAGAUGGUGAACUAUGCCUGGUCAGGACGAAGUCAGGGGAAACCCUGAUGGAGGUCCGUAGCGAUUCUGACGUGCAAAUCGAUCGUCGGAACUGGGUAUAGGGGCGAAAGACUAAUCGAACCAUCUAGUAGCUGGUUCCCUCCGAAGUUUCCCUCAGGAUAGCUGGCGCUCGCUUCUCGCGAGUCUCAUUCGGUAAAGCGAAUGAUUAGAGGCAUUGGGGUCGAAACGGCCUCAACCUAUUCUCAAACUUUAAAUGGGUGAGAUCUCCGGCUUGCUUGAACUGUGAAGCCGCGAGAUAUCGGAUCAGAGUGCCAAGUGGGCCACUUUUGGUAAGCAGAACUGGCGCUGUGGGAUGAACCAAACGCAGAGUUAAAGCGCCUAAAUCGACGCUUAUGGGAUACCAUGAAAGGCGUUGGUAACUUAAGACAGCAGGACGGUGGCCAUGGAAGUCGGAAUCCGCUAAGGAGUGUGUAAA
rnacentral:rRNA from 1 species